CACGUAGGGCGCAAGCGUUGUCCGGAAUUAUUGGGCGUAAAGAGCUCGUAGGCGGUCUGUUACGUCUGCUGUGAAAACCCGGGGCUUAACCCUGGGCUUGCAGUGGAUACGGGCAGACUAGAGGCAGGUAGGGGAGAAUGGAAUUCCCGGUGUAGCGGUGAAAUGCGCAGAUAUCGGGAGGAACACCGGUGGCGAAGGCGGCGAUCUGGGAAGAUACUGACGCUGAGGCGCGAAGGCCAGGGGAGCAAACGGG
rnacentral:rRNA from 1 species